GCAUGGUGUAGACAGAGGCCUGUACUACGAACCAAGAUUUGGCGUUAACGAGGUAACUUCAGGUUCAACCCAGAGUUUUCUGUAUUGCAACGAUGGAUCACUUGUUACCGGG